rnacentral:rRNA from 1 species
UACGUAGGGCGCAAGCGUUGUCCGGAAUUAUUGGGCGUAAAGAGCUCGUAGGCGGUCUGUCGCGUCUGCCGUGAAAACCCGAGGCUUAACCUCGGGCUGGCGGUGGAUACGGGCAGACUAGAGGUAGGUAGGGGAGAAUGGAAUUCCCGGUGUAGCGGUGAAAUGCGCAGAUAUCGGGAGGAACACCGGUGGCGAAGGCGGGUCUCUGGGCCGAUACUGACGCUGAGAAGCGAAAGCGUGGGGAGCGAACAGG